rnacentral:piRNA from 1 species
UGCCAAUUAUCGUGUCCGCUAAGUGUGCAU